UACAGAGGGGGGCGAGCGUUAUUCGGAAUUAUUGGGCGUAAAGGGCGCGUAGGCGGCUUUUCAAGUGACGGGUGAAAUCCCUCGGCUUAACCGAGGAACUGCCUGUCAGACUGGAAGGCUUGAGACCGGGGAGAGGUGAGUGGAAUUCCCAGUGUAGCGGUGAAAUGCGUAGAUAUUGGGAGGAACACCAGUGGCGAAGGCGGCUCGCUGGACCGGUUCUGACGCUGAGGCGCGAAAGCGUGGGGAGCAAACGGGG
rnacentral:rRNA from 1 species